rnacentral:lncRNA from 13 species
AAAACCCGGACUGGAUUCGCGCCGGCCGCGGCUCCGCCAGGCGCGGGGCGCUGGGGCCGCGCUGCCUUCGCCCGGAGCCGCGGGCGGAUUUCGCUGCCGGGCAGGCCGGCCCCCGCCGCCCACCCGCCUCGCCCCGGGUGCGCCCUGCCGGGGGAGCGGCGCUUCGGACCGGCCCUGCCCGCCUGUGCUGUGGUUACACGGCAGGAGGGCCGGGGGUGCCCGAGAGGACAUUGCGGUGCUGGAGCGUGUCCAGAGAAGGGCAACAAAGCUGGAGAAGGGUCUGGAGCUCAAGUCCUAUGUUUUGCCAGUGCUUUGACCAGCUGCACAGCAAUGUCGGCUCAGCCCAUCUCAGCAGAACAGCAGCCAAAUCUCCUGUGAUCACUGAAGUUCUCACUCCAGCUGGGAGGACAGCCAGGCACCUUCAAGAACAAGGGAAUGAUUGACAAUAUUAGGCAGAAAAUUGUCUACCAGAUGCUGCUCAAAAGGAGAGGUGGCAACCUUCCGACCCCCUUCUCAGUACGCAAAAUCAUCGCUUCUGUGACACGCCUCUGCCCCACUUGUCAGCUGAGUGGGGAGCACAGGGUCACUUCUGCGUCUGGCUGUUGUGCAGUAAAAUGCCACCCUGCAGACAAGGAUGUGCCUUCUGCGUGAAGAAGGUCCCAGUGCCAGCCAUGCGUUGGAAUGAAAUGGAAAAAUUUACCAGACAUUACACAUUACUUUUCAGUUACCACUCUGAAAUAUUGACUAGAUCUGAAUAACCUUACUGGUACAGAAACGAAAGGAAUUCUGGACAGUCCAUCCUUGGACUGUGAGAAAAUGAACACCAACCAGACCUUCAUGGCUUUUUAAAAACCCCUCCCCAGAGAUCUUCCUGUUACCAUUAGUACUUUAACAUAAUUUACAUGUUUAUGUCUCUUAAAAGGUUUUGUUUCUCCCCCUGAAAAAAGAGGGGAAAGUCAGCUCACUGGAGUUUCAUGCUAGUGCUAAUACAAUGACCACAGUUCUCCUUUUUACAAAUUAACUAGACUGAGAAAAACAAAGGGAUGAACUUGAAAAAAGGAAGACUAACAUUUUCCUACUUAAUUAGCUGACUGAACAUGGGAAAAAAAAAAAAAGAGAAACCACUUUCUUAACAAAAGCAGUGCAGGACAAAAAACCCCAAAGAGUCUACAGAGAGGGCAGACACACAGGACACAUAGGCCUCUGAAAUGCAAAUGUUUGAGCACAAAAUAGAAAUAACCAUAUAUACAUAGUUGGGGUUUUCUGACACAGACACACAUGCACACACACAAAAGCUAUUCGAGGGAGUUUCUAUGUUGUUUGUGCUCAUUCAUGUGGGGUAACAGUAAUGUGUGUGAAUAAUAAUCCCUGAAAUGACACCAGAAUUAAAGGAAGGAUAUAGGAAAUGAAAGAUGAUAAUUGAAAUGCUAUUUUAAGCAAGUGUAUUCAUUAAUUGUCUUAAUUCAGGUGGAACUUCCCAUGCAAAUUAGAUUAAAUAUAUUCUAAGAAAACUGCAAGAUUGGCACGUCAACUUCCUCUUUCUCAGUGUAGUGUCAAAGAACUCAGCUUGAUUCUGAAAGUCGAAGCUGAAUUUGCAGAGGUAACAAUUACAAAGAAAAUACCUAGCUGCUCCUUUCAAAAUGAACAAAGAUCAGGCACUCUGAAAAACACAAAUAUUACAGGACCCGUAAAACUUCUUUCAGACUCACUUUUACAUGGAAACUCCUUUGUAAAUCUUGCAGAAGCAAGAAAAAAAAAAAGACUACAUAGCUGCCAGUAAACACCAGCAAUAAAAAUAUAUUUACACCAAUGAAUUAAGCAAUGGGUACAAUUUUAUUUUGAUCAUCUUGCUACCUAAGAUAGUAUCGUUUUAUUUGCAUGAAUUCUCUCUUGGAGAUUAAUACUUUCCUUUGAAAAAAGGCACUCCACGUUUUUUUGCUUGCAUACCACACUGACAUCAACCCUAAAGGCUCUAAGACCACUAACCAAAAUUUAAGGGAAACACCAGAAAGCCAUAUAACUUGAGGAUCACCCACACCUCAAAGAUUCCUUCCUCUAUCAGCUGCAAGCCAGUUCACUAUCUGGAGAGGUAGGAGACAUUUUCUGUGUUGUACAUAUUUCUAUUUUCUAGUGAGUGCAGUGGUUCAUAAAAGUUAAUUUUUUGGUGCUGGUGGAGUUUUUUGUUUGGUUGGGUUUGUUUGAUGUUUUUUCAGGGAAGCUCCCUGAAAAAACUGAAGUUACUCUGGAGGUUCUCCUUCCAGUCAACUCCUUGGGAGUGUCCAGAAAAAUGGACAGUUUUGAUGGUCCGUUUUUCCCUAAAAGGCUGAACGAGACGACUCCAGACUGUUUGUUCCGCUGUACUCGUCCGUCCUCCUUCGGGAUCAAUCUGUCCCGUUCUCCAUGGGGAAGGAAACACGGCUGACCUCUUCCUGCCUCUCCCACCCUUCUCUCCUCCAUGAAGAAAAAUCCCGAGUAAACAAACAAUUCGCACACGCUCGGAGCUGGACGAGCACAGCUGAAGCGGACUGGCACGGGAGC